UACGGGAGGCAGCAGUGGGGAAUAUUGCACAAUGGGCGCAAGCCUGAUGCAGCCAUGCCGCGUGUAUGAAAAAGGCCUUCGGGUUGUAAAGUACUUUCAGUCGUGAGGAAGGUGUUAAGGUUAAUAACCUUAGCAAUUGACGUUAGCGACAGAAGAAGCACCGGCUAACUCCGUGCCAGCAGCCGCGGUAAUACGGAGGGUGCGAGCGUUAAUCGGAAUUACUGGGCGUAAAGGGCACGCAGGCGGUUAAUUAAGUUGGAUGUGAAAUCCCCGGGCUUAACCUGGGAAUGGCAUUCAAGACUGGUUAGCUAGAGUCUUGUAGAGGGGGUAGAAUUCCAUGUGUAGCGGUGAAAUGCGUAGAGAUGUGGGGGAAUACCGGUGGCGAAGGCGGCCCCCUGGACAAAGACUGACGCUCAUGUGCGAAAGCGUGGGGAGCAAACAGGGAUUAGAUACC
rnacentral:rRNA from 1 species